rnacentral:sRNA from 1 species
CUGAACAACUGGAGCAGGGGCUGUCUAAAAAGCCUUUUUUCUGUGUUUGAAUUAUCUCUUGAAGCUCAACGGUAAGAGAACUGUGACUACAGCAAGCGUCUCUCGCAUAUUUCCUUUAGGAUCCUGCCCUCUGGGAGUUGUCAUCCCUCCAGCUCAAAGACUUUCUGAUUCAGGUUCAUCCUUUUCUCCCAUCAACAUGCCAUGAAGCCUGAUCAAGUCCUGGAGACAUUCACGUUUGUCUCUGCCUUUCUGGAAUUUUGACACAGCUCCUUGAAGAUGAGGCACCUGAAGAUACCCACACUGCUCCUGGCACUGUUAGCCUUGAUCAUUGAAGUCAAUUCUGUGGCCACUUUAUGAUACAUGUGGCCACUUGAGUUAAAACUCCUUUAGAAUCUGGGAACUUCCAGUCAAAGUGAUCUUUCUUUCUU